UACAGAGGUCUCAAGCGUUGUUCGGAAUCACUGGGCGUAAAGGGUGCGUAGGCCGCGCCGUAAGUCAGAUGUGAAAGCCCGGGGCUCAACCCCGGAAUUGCAUCCGAUACUGCGGUGCUAGAGUACUGGAGAGGAGACUAGAAUUCACGGUGUAGCAGUGAAAUGCGUAGAUAUCGUGAGGAAUACCAAAGGCGUAGGCAGGUCUCUGGACAGUUACUGACGCUGAGGCACGAAGGCCAGGGUAGCGAACGGG
rnacentral:rRNA from 1 species